AUUGAACGCUGGCGGCAGGCUUAACACAUGCAAGUCGAGCGAGCGGCGGACGGGUGAGUAAUGUCUGGGAAACUGCCUGAUGGAGGGGGAUAACUACUGGAACCGGUAGCUAAUCCCGCAUACCAUCAGAUGUGCCCAGAGUGGAUUAGCUAGUAGGUGGGGUAAUGGCUCACCUAGGCGACGACCACUAGCCGGUCUGAGAGGUGGACCAGCAACACUGGAACUGAGACACGGUCCAGACUCCUACGGGAGGCAGCAGUGGGGAAUAUUGCACAAGGGGCGCAAGCCGGAUGCAGCCAGGCGGCGGGGGGGAAGAAGGCCUUCGGGUUGUAAAGCACGUUCUGCGAGGAGGCGUUACUCGCAGAAGAAGGACCGGCUAACUCCGUGCCAGCAGCCGCGGUAAUUC
rnacentral:rRNA from 1 species